GUGCUCGCUCCGGCAGCACAUACACUAAAAUUGGAAUGAUACAGAGAUUAGCACGGCCCCUGCGCAAGGAUGACACGCAAAGUCGUGAAGCGUUCCGUAUUUUU
rnacentral:snRNA from 1 species